rnacentral:rRNA from 1 species
CUACGGGCCGCACCAGUGAGGAAUAUUGGUCAAUGGGCGCAAGCCUGAACCAGCCACUCCGCGUGUAGGAUGACUGCCCUAUGGGUUGUAAACUACUUUUAUACAGGAAGAAACCUCCUUACGUGUAGGGAGCUGACUGUACUGUAAGAAUAAGCAUCGGCUAACUCCGUGCCAGCUGCCGCGGUAAUACGGAGGAUGCAAGCGUUAUCCGGAUUUAUUAGGUCUAAAGGGUUCGUAGGCGGAUGAUUAAGUCAGUGGUGAAAUCCUACAGCUUAACUGUAGAACUGCCAUUGAUACUGGUUGUCUUGAGUAUAGUUGAGGUAGGCGGAAUGUGUAGUGUAGCGGUGAAAUGCUUAGAUAUUACACAGAACACCGAUUGCGAAGGCAGCUUACUAAGCUAUUACUGACGCUAAGGAACGAAAGCGUGGGGAGCGAACAGGAUUAGAUACCCCGGUAGUC